GGAGGAGAAAGCUGGCCUGCCAGGGGGGUAGGAGGAACCUGCAGGCAGAGAGAAGCAGAGAGAGGAAACAUCUCUGUUCAUCUGCGAGUCCCCAGCUACCCUUCCUAUGACAAAGUUUCUCUUUUGCUUUGGCUAAUUGGAGGUGUUUUGUUUAGUUGCUUACAACCAAGGGCCCCAAAUAAUAGACAUUGUGAUCUUCAGCAACCACUGAACUUCUCUUAGCUCAUCUUUUUCCUCAUGUGUGCAAUGGCAACAAUAAUUUCCUCAUAGUUACUGGAGUGUUCAGAUGCAAUAACACGAAUAACCCAAGUCACCUUUACUGGAAAUCAGUUUGCUGAAAGCCUUGAAACUUGCAGUUCUUGGAGUUGAAGAAAAGGAGGUUGUGCGCCUUGACCAGAGGAGCGUGGCCCGUCCUUCAAAACCCUCUCCGGACGCCUUCCUAGCCUCGCCCGGGAAAGAUGCGGCAGCUCAAAGGCAAGCCCAAGAAGGAGACGUCCAAGGACAAGAAGGAGCGGAAGCAGGCCAUGCAGGAGGCCCGACAGCAGAUCACCACGGUGGUGCUGCCCACGCUGGCCGUGGUCGUGCUUCUGAUCGUGGUGUUCGUGUACGUGGCCACGCGCCCCACCGUCACCGAGUGAGCGCUGUGGGCGGGCUCCCCAAGCAGGCAGUGGAGGCCCGGGAGGGGGAAGGCCAACGAAACAUGGCUCUCGUGUCCCGAGAUUUUCCUGAUGCUGAGCUCCGAGCAGGGGCACCCUGUCUUCUCUGGUCUUUGACUUGAUUAAAGUUUCUCCAAUUUCCCUGGGAGGGAAUAGGGAACGUUUUAUCAGUGAACGUGCCAUACACCUUAUGGUCCACUUCAUGUGCCUUUCAGCCUUUCAGACUUCAAAGCGGUGUGUGUGUGUGUGUGUGUGUGUGUGUGUGUGUGUGUGUGUGUUUCUUUGUCUCUCCUAAAAUCAAUAUGUAGCCCACCUGGUGAGAGGAGGAAUCUCUGGGUCAUGAAUCAGUUGGAACCAGUGCUCACCCCAUCCCCAUUGUUUUGAACAUGACUCUUUUCCUCCAUGUGUUCACAAUUUCCAAAGGGACUGGACUUCUUCUCUGUGCUUAAUGUGAUUUGAAAUAUGUCGAGUCAAAAGUGAAAUAUUUAUUUUUUUGAAUAAAGGAGAUAAUAGCCUUAAA